GUCGUGAGUAUGUUGGGUUAAGUCCCGUAACGAGCGCAACCCUUGUCCUUAGUUACCAGCACGUUAUGGUGGGCACUCUAAGGAGACUGCCGGGUGACAAACCGGAGGAAGGUGGGGAUGACGUCAAGUCAUCAUGGCCCUUACGGCCUGGGCUACACACGUGCUACAAUGGUCGGUACAAAGGGUUGCCAAGCCGCGAGGUGGAGCUAAUCCCAUAAAACCGAUCGUAGUCCGGAUCGCAGUCUGCAACUCGACUGCGUGAAGUCGGAAAUCGCUAGUAAUCGUGAAUCAGAAUGUCACGGUGAAUACGUUCCCGGGCCUU
rnacentral:rRNA from 1 species